UCUGUGCACACCUAGCUAAAAGUGACAUACUUUUGGGCACUCUGAUGAAGUUGUGCCCACAGAACCUCUUUUAGCUCACAGCACUGAGCACUGCACGUGGUAUCGCCAACUACUUCCUGCAGCUCUGUCAGAGCAGCCUCUGAGCUCGGCACGAGCUGGAACACUCCUUCGUCUCCUCUGUGAAAACCAGGGGGAAAAAGGGAAAAAAAUAAAGGAGAAUUCACAUCCAGCCUUUCUUCUCAUCCUUACUCUGCUGGAAAAGCAAGCACCAUCUUUAGCACUGAUGAUGCCACCACAGCAGCUUCCAUACAGACCCACGAGGGCAGGGCCAAGACUCCUAUCAGGGAGAGAUGAUCUACUGCCACAAGAUCAAAGCUCAACACCAUCUUCACAUUUUCCUACUCCCGGAAAGAGAAGCCAUCCUAUCCAUGCUCACUCUUUGCAGCACAGUUAAAGCCAUGCUCUGCCUGGGGGAUUUAAAAGGGAUGAAAGAGACAAAUGCAUUUUGGGGUGGCAAAAAGAGCCUGUGAUCCCUGUGACUGUAAUGAUUGCAGUGAAGGUGUCAGUGAAGGAAAGAGGGGACACUUGUGGAUUUGGGAGUUUGAUCAGAUGUGUUUGGUUAUGAAUACGUUCAGUUGCUACCCCAGAGAUUAUUUUGAGUCACAGUAGUUUGGGGUGGACAUGGCUCUGGACUGGGCCUUUCAAUGGCUCAGUGUGUUUCUACUCGCGAGUGUCAAAGGUUUGGCAGGAGUCUCCUGUUUGAAGGCCUGGAGGCCAAGAAUAAGGAGGAUGAUAUCCAUAAGUAGCUGCAGGGGAAAUCCUAAUAUCGAAAGGGUAACAGAGCACCCCUUUUUAAGGGGUACACUGGUGGGUUUGGACCUAGGUCUUGGUGCUUCUUUGUUCAGCUGCCUGAAGUCAGAUUUUCCUUAAACCCGGCAAUAAAACACACUCAUCUCUAACAGUGUAUCAGCAUAGCCAGACCUCCUCACCUUGUUAAAACAUCCUGUUCCCUGAUAUCCAAGCCUGUUCUCCUACAUCCCAGCCAGUUCCUUUAGCAAUCCAGAGCAGUAUCCACCCACUUCUAUACCCUUGGUGCGAAAUCUGCUGCUACAUGGCUGUGCUUCAGCAUCCUUGAGCGCCCUGAUGCAGGAGAGAGGAAUGGGAAUCACCACUCUCCUCCUCUUCUUCUAAAACUUCGUAGCUCCAGCACAAGCCAGUAGGAAAGUUUGGUCAGCUGGGUUUCCAAAUGGGCCCCUUCUUUAACAGAAGCUAUAGACAACUAGCCCCCAAUGUCAAGGCCACCAAUAGCUUUAGGGAGUCAUUGGGCUCCAGUGCUUGGUGGUUUCAGGUGUGGUGAGGUGUGAAGCAGAGCUGCUCUCAGUUGCUUACUUUCACUGCUGCUGCUCCAACACCUACACUUACCUCAGCCUUUUGACUUGACAGGCUUUACAGUUUAGCCUCAAAUUAAUGACAGCUUUUCUGGACUUCCUGAUGCUUCUCCUGGCCAUGGAGCCAUUCCUCUGGCUCUGGGAUCUUUUCCACACAAGCUGGUGGGUACCAGGGAGCAAAUCUGUCCUGCAAUAGCUGUACUCUGAUGCUCUCAGGGAGGACUGAGAAACUUUGCUAGGUCUGAAGCCCCAAAAUCCUGACUCAUUGACUUUGAAUCAUGACACCAAAGUCCCCUGAUAGAGGUGGAUUUGGGGGUCUAUUUUUCACCUGUGAACUUCCCCUACCUACAAUGUUUAAGCCGUUUUACCUGCUUUUAUACACAUUGAAUAAUGUGGUCUUAAACCCAGUACAAGGAUCUUUUGCCAACAUCUCUCUCCCAUCCACCAGACACUCUUCUCUACUGUGCAGUCCCUCUCCAGGUAGCAAGGCACUAGGACACCCAGAUUAAGGAAGGAACACUUUUUAAAACUAGGCCUUUGUCAAACCUGAAUUAUGACACUUCCCCUUAGUAAUACCACAGCCGCUCAUUUUAGCAAAUUAGCACACUUUGUACUAGUGUGGGAUUUCUAGAUUGUGAAAAGGGGGAAGUGGAUGUAUGGAUUUAUGUAAAAACCUGCACGGAGGUAUUUAAAAAUCUAGUCAUUGAGAGUUCACAUCUAUGAACAGUGUUGUCUUGAGGUAAAUCAAAUCCUCAGGAAAGAUUGCUGAGCUCCUCCCUUCCUGAAAGGCAAGUGAUUAAUAACGUCUCUCUUCUCCCAUAUAUCUUUUUUUAUUUUUAUAUUUAUUAUUAUCUUCAUUUUAAUAUCUUUGUAAGACUGCUUAUAUCUGCAUUAUAUCUCAUAUCUGCAAUAUAGAAUUAAAAAUAAAGGCUGUAUAACUAAUCAGUCUUGCUGAUUUCAGCUACGAAUGCUGAAACUUGUUUUAACCAGCACCAGGCAAGAGAUAGGUUACCUGCUCCACCAGUGGAAGAAAGAUAUUUUAGGAUAGAGUUGUGCUCAGGCUAGAUUCCCAGGAUAGCUUUAAAACACUUUUUUUUUUUUUCUAAACAGAGUUUUGAAACUAUAUAGUGCCAAGAUUAUGUAUUCAUCUAUUAUGUUCUAAUUUGAAACAAAGUUGCUUGAAAAUACAUGGGUUUAUGUUCAAAUUUCAAAUUAUACAGCUUCAAAUCCUGCUGUGUUUGUGUGUGUCAGUAAAAAUAAUUGGUCUGAUGGGUAACCAAGUGGAGCCAUGGCUCUUUCUACUUUUUAUGCUGAGAUCUGCUUAUAGGAGUGACUUCCUUUACUAAUUUGUUUAUUAAUAAUGGAAGAAAAUCACUGACUUGCUGGGCAUACGGGCCAGGAUCUGUUUCUAUUCAAAGACACCAUAAACAUUCUUCCUUCUUUCAAGAACAGCAGAGCAAAUAGCACAGCAAUUCCUUAGUUUCAAGUUAAGAGACACAAAGGUUUAUCAGUUGAUAAUUUACAGGCCAUUAUUGUAAGUUCUGCGUGAGGAGAAGCCCUGGUUCAGACGUUGGAGGAGUGACAUUGCUGGCGACAAGCACUGUAGGUGGCAUAAAUGUCACAUCUGGGAACUGAUGUGUUUCAGUAUAGAUUUGAGUGUCCAACGGACGUCCUGCUGGCACCCUCGUGUCAAACCUUUCCAGCACCACAUUCAACUAAGGAAAGCACACAGAAUCCCUCAGAAGAAACUCAGGUCCUCAAUCACUGAAGGCUGAUUUAUGCUUUGAGACAUGCAGGUUGUUUUCCUCUACAGAUAUUGGGGACAGGAAGGAAAGUGUGAAAGGAAAGUUUGUUUCCAUUUUAACCAUCACAGAGGGUAUUUCACAUUAUUCCUAAUAUCCACACAAAUGCCUCAAAACUUUUGGCUCUAACAAUAAUCCCUGGAAGAGAUGGAUGAUCAGAAAAAUAUUAGAAAAUAAAAUAUAUAUUAAUUAAUGUGCUUUGCUCAUGUAAUUGUACUCAUGUUAUGGAUUUUACUGUGUCCUUUUUUUUCUUCUGUCCCUGGGUAUCUCAGGUGAGUUACUCCAAACACUUUCAACCAGUCUCUGUCUAACUAUUGUGCUUUUUUUGACUUAUCCUUCUCUGCCUUGUAACCAUAACUGCAAUUUUCUUUUUUUACUUUUUCUAGUAGUGGCUAUUUUUAUCACUCCAACUUCUCCUUUGGAAACUUAAACAAUUUCACAUGAGCAGUUCAUACACAAAAAAACAAACAACAAAAAAAAGGCAAAGUAAAGAUUUUUGCUUUCCUGCUUGUUUUCAUUUCCCUUUUUUUUACACUUCAGUGUUACUGAAGACUUUUCUUGAGAAAAGAUUAAUGCAACUGGCCCAAAUGAGCAGCAGGAGCCACUGCAUUUUAGGAGUAUGAAACGUAAUUAUCUAGCAGCAUGGACACAGCAUACGGAUAUUAGAAAUGGAAGAGUGUAAAUACAGAGCAGGCAUGCAGCAAAACUUGGCAGAUUACCCCAUCUUCCAGUGAUUUGUGCUCAGGUGCUUCGUGAUCCCUCUGUCCUGGAAGAUGAGAUGUUUUGCAUAUCUUGAAGGUGAGAAACAUGCACGUGACAACUGCGGUAUGUCUCAUGCAGGGACUCUCACAGAGCAAGAAGCCUCAGAGUGCUGACAAAAAUACAUUGAGCUGCUGGUGCAAAACACAGCUGCUGUAACGCCUAUGAUUGGUGAGACCUAGCAGAUCAGUAUAGGCCACAAAAAGGUGAAAACAGCUACUGUGGAGAGGCUUGCUCAACUGAAGGAUACAGGGCAGCAAAGAUAACUCAUUGAAACAGUUUGUGUCUCACAAAUGCGUUCGUGGAUAUUGCUCAUCCUUGUCAUCAUCACUACAUUUUACCCUUUAUGAAUGCUUGAAAAUUGCUGGGUGUGAUAAAUCUCUUGAGUUCUGGUGCUCAAACCAAAACUGAUCAUCACAAAUAUUAAUAGAAAAUGGUGUCUAGUUUUUUUCACCAGUGGAAUUAUUACUGUUUUUCAUUUGAAUUAAUAUUUGAGAUGCAGGUUAGCCUUGACAUCCCAGAGGAAGACAGAACUGGGAAUUGUCUGGGCUGAGCCAAGCAUCAAACUAUUAAACUCUAAAGGUCUGAAAAGACACAAAUGUGCUUUCAAUUGAAGAGGGGUGUAAAGGCACAGAGAAGUUGACUUCCGUCACAAGGUGGACUGUGGCGUUAUUAUUU